rnacentral:rRNA from 1 species
GGAAUAUUGGACAAUGGGCGAAAGACUGAUCCAGCCAUGCCGCGUGUGUGAAGAAGGUCUUCGGAUUGUAAAGCACUUUAAGUUGGGAGGAAGGGCAGUAAGUUAAUACCUUGCUGUUUUGACGUUACCAACAGAAUAAGCACCGGCUAACUUCGUGCCAGCAGCCGCGGUAAUACGAAGGGUGCAAGCGUUAAUCGGAAUUACUGGGCGUAAAGCGCGCGUAGGUGGUUCAGCAAGUUGGAUGUGAAAUCCCCGGGCUCAACCUGGGAACUGCAUCCAAAACUACUGAGCUAGAGUACGGUAGGAGGGGUGGUGGAAUUUCCUGUGUAGCCGGUGAAAAUGCGUAGAUAUAGGAAGGGAACACCCAGUGGCGAAGGCGACCACCGGGACUGAUACUGACACUGAGGUGCGAAAGCGUGGGGAGCAACCAGGAUUAGAUACCCUGGUAGUCCACGCCGUAAACGAUGUCGACUAGCCGUUGGGAUCCUUGAGAUCUUUAGUGGCGCAGCUAACGCGAUAAGUCGACCCCCUGGGGAGUACGGCCGCAAGGUUAAAACUCAAAUGAAUUGACGGGGGCCCGCACAAGCGGUGGAGCAUGUGGUUUAAUUCGAAGCAACGCGAAGAACCUUACCUGGCCUUGACAUGCUGAGAACUUUCCAGAGAUGGAUUGGUGCCUUCGGGAACUCAGACACAGGUGCUGCAUGGCUGUCGUCUGCUCGUGUCGUGAGAUGUUGGGUU